rnacentral:rRNA from 1 species
GAUGAACGCUGGCGGCGUGCUUAACACAUGCAAGUCGAACGGUGAAGCAGGAGCUUGCUCCGGUGGAUUAGUGGCGAACGGGUGAGUAACACGUGAGAAAUCUGCCCUUGACUCUGGGAUAACUGCGGGAAACUGUAGCUAAUACCGGAUAUUUUCCUUGGUGGGCAUCCACUGGGGAAGAAAGAAUUUCGGUCAAGGAUGAUCUCGCGGCCUAUCAGCUAGUUGGUGAGGUAAUGGCUCACCAAGGCGACGACGGGUAGCCGGCCUGAGAGGGUGACCGGCCACACUGGGACUGAGACACGGCCCAGACUCCUACGGGAGGCAGCAGUGGGGAAUAUUGCACAAUGGGCGCAAGCCUGAUGCAGCAACGCCGCGUGAGGGAUGAAGGCCUUCGGGUUGUAAACCUCUUUUAGCAGGGAAGAAGCGAAAGUGACGGUACCUGCAGAAAAAGCACCGGCUAACUACGUGCCAGCCGCCGCCGUAA